AGUGAACGCUGGCGGUAGGCCUAACACAUGCAAGUCGAACGGCAGCACAGUAAGAGCUUGCUCUUACGGGUGGCGAGUGGCGGACGGGUGAGGAAUACAUCGAAAUCUACUUUUUCGUGGGGGAUAACGUAGGGAAACUUACGCUAAUACCGCAUACGACCUACGGGUGAAAGCAGGGGAUCUUCGGACCUUGCGCGAUUGAAUGAGCCGAUGUCGGAUUAGCUAGUUGGCGGGGUAAAGGCCCACCAAGGCGACGAUCCGUAGCUGGUCUGAGAGGAUGAUCAGCCACACUGGAACUGAGACACGGUCCAGACUCCUACGGGAGGCAGCAGUGGGGAAUAUUGGACAAUGGGCGCAAGCCUGAUCCAGCCAUACCACGUGGGUGAAGAAGGCCUUCGGGUUGUAAAGCCCUUUUGUUGGGAAAGAAAAGCAGCAGGUUAAUACCCCGCUGUUCUGACGGUACCCAAAGAAUAAGCACCGGCUAACUUCGUG
rnacentral:rRNA from 1 species